AUAACAGAGAACUAGGAAGGAAAGGGCAAAUUUUGUGUGAGCAUUAAAAUGUUUCCUUGCACAAGCUCGUCCAUUUUAGUAUCCCAUUAUUUUUGAUCCUCUGAAAUCCACACCCUCUCAUUAACUGUGACAAAUGUCCUGUGAGACUGAUAUUAUAGUCUGGGAAUCUACGCUAUCCUAUCCUGUUGGGUCACUUUAGUUUCCUGGGUGUUCUGUGUUUGGGGAAGCCUAUUUUAUUCAUCACUGGCAGGCCUUUGAAAAAACAAAAAACACUCCCUGACCCUUUUCUAAAUAGAGGCCAAUCACCUUUUGCCUAGUCAUGUUCUGAUAGGCCUGCAGUGAACCUACUUAAGCUAUGGGAAUUACUGUUCUUCUUCUUAUGCUACCUUCUCAAUAUUGGAGGAACUAUUAAAGUGCAAUUUGGAAAGCCAGAACACAAAAUACAAGCAUUAUUGGUUCACAAAGAACAUGGAAAACUACUCUGAGAACCUCAUAAGUUUGAGAUGGGUUUUUGUUAUAAAGGAAUCUGCAGAUAACUGAAGGCAUGUAUAAUAAGACCUUUGGUUCUGAAUAUUGAAAUCCAGAAUUUUAAAAUUCUCAUGUUAAUUCAUUGAAUGUUCACAGUCCUCAAUCUCCAACCUGGUUGGUCCUUUCAUGACAUCACAGCAGUUAAGCCACUGGAAGCCAGGGAACUUGUGAUGAAGCCUGUCCCCCAAGUCAGGGCCAAUUGGCCAGAUGUACAUUGAGAAGCAGGGUGAACAGAAUACUUGGAAGAGGAGGAGACCACAAAGACAGUUUGCCAUAUUGCUGCAUCAUCAGCUAAUAUCAUGGGAAACCACUGGGACAGCUAGUUAAAUGCAGUGAGCUCACUUGGGGUAAUAUAUUUAAAGAACUUUGAACCCACUCCUUUCCUCCCUCCGACCGGCAACUGAAUUUAUUCCACCCACUGGAACAGUAGAGUUAAACCCUGGUUUUUUCAGUAAGGUGGGUGGGCUCAAACUUUGGAUGGCAGCAGGAUUUGUGGAUUGAAACACAUUUAAAAGUAGCACAACGAGCUGCAUAUUAGCUAUAAAAAUCUGAAAUGCCUCUGGCAUGUAUGACUCUGUAAGCUGUGAAAUAAGUUUGACAGCACAUCUGCGCUGUCCCUGUCUCUUCCAGGACAAGUUCUGCUUCUUUUGUCAGCAAAUAUCAAACCUGCAGAGGUAUAAAAGAAAGGAAGAAGUUCUUCCCCCAUCUCUGCUGCUCAGAGCCUGAUCUCUGAUGCAGGCCAAGCAAAAGAAAAACUAUAUAUAAUCAAUGAAACAGGAAGCGUUUCCAUUGGUUUCCCAAAGGUACAGAGUGAGACAUUAAGUACUUACUGGUUGGAAAUGGUGGAGAACUCUGUGGCCCUCUCAGGGCAGUUCACAACAUCAAAAUGCAAUAUGAAAACCCCAUUGGCCAUUGGCCAUGGUGGAAACUGGAAUCCAACAACAUCUGGAAGGUCUCAGGUUCACCACACCUGGUAUCAAGCUAGGCUUGCCACUUUCCAUAUAAAGUAACAGGUGGGGAAUGCCUUUAAGUGUAGAAAGGAUGUGCAGACCAGAGUUUAUCUAAAAUCUCCCCUGUAGUGCAGCUUUCUUUUUCAGAGUCCAUCACUAGACCGCCAUUCAUCUCCACCCGUUUCUGAUCUUGCCUCUGAUGCUGGAAAGGAGCUUGGCAGAGGUCAGAGACAAUGGACUGUGGGGAAGGCAAGCUGUGGAGAAGGGGAGGGUUCAUUCUCCUCCCCAACUAAGUAUUUUUUGUUCUUAAAACUGGGCCACCGUGCUCCUGUCCUUUGUAUUAUCCAUGAUUGGGGAAGGCUUGAGUUCGACCCAACAGGCCUGCUGUUGUUGUGUGUGGGUUUUUUUUUGGGGGGGAUGCAUUGUUCUGGGAUGAAUGGUGGCAUUUCCAUCCAGAGCAAAACCUGCUGUGGGAAGUGAUCGGUUGUCUUCUGCAGAUGGUAACACCCCACUCUAUUCUCCAAAGGCUCCCUUGCAGGAAGAUUCCUCUGCUGACUUUCACGCUAGUUGUUCGGUUCUUAAAAGCAGAGUGUGCAUGUCAAUGGCAGCAAGCCCUCUGGAGGAGCUGGGAGAGAAAAAGCAGCCCCCUCAGAAGGGAAGGCCAUUACAAAAAAACACCCUAUCCUUCCAGGAACAAAGAGCCAGGUUUCCAGGGCAGAAGGUGUUCCGGGGCGGUGAGGUGGGGGGUGUAUUUUUUUUAUUUUAUUUUCUUAGUGUGUUUGCGCGCAUGUAUGUGUCAAGGAUCCUUUUCUUCCCUGUUCCUCUUUUCACAUGCAUUUGAUGAAUACCAAAACUGAGGGAAUUGUUUCCUUGUGAAAGAGCGUGAAAAAUCUCAUUUGGAGAAGUUUAAUGCUUAUUAGACCCAUCUGCCUCCAGGGCGAAUUCUCUUUUUCUUUGGUGCUGAGGCCACAAAAAGAGGAGAAGGAGAGACCUCCGGAAUCCAGCACAAUAAUAAUCCGACACAGGCACAGGGCUGAGAUGGAGACAGGGGAAAUGUUCACACACACACACACCACUCUUCAGUGAGAGGUAAUGUGGGCAAAAGAUCUCACAACGGUUUAAGUGAAUUGUAGUUCCUGAGAAGUAGGCCUCUUCAUUUGCCACGAGUCUUUCAAAGCAUAACCCUACAGCAGUAUUUAGACAAAGAUAUAUGCCAUUUAUGGGUAGGAAAGUAUUGUUUCAUUAACUGAGGCUGCAAUCCUAGUCCCACUUGACUGAGAGUUGAAUUCAGUGGAAUUUACUUAGGAGUAGGUAUGGGCAGGAUUGUGCUAUUCAUCUCUCUUUAAUGAUGUGUGUGUGCAAGGAACAAUGCAUUUACAUUGUAAUAGAUGAGUAUCGGAGAGUUGGAGAGGACCUUUUGCAGGAAUCUUUUUGCCCAAUGUGGGGCUUGAACCCACGGCCCUUAGUUUAAGAGACUCAUGCUCUACCGACUGAGCUAUCCCACAGGAUUCCCUUAAUCUGUUUUUAAGGGUUGAUAACUUUCUCAUACGAGAGAGAUGUUGAUUCAAGAACUUUCUAGUAUUUACUGGUGAUAAUCAAUUAUAGUUAGUUGAUUUCCUUUAUUAACUUGGUUAUUCAUUAAAGGAAGUUAAAUUUUUUUGAAAUCAUUUAAGGGUGACAUAUUUUUUAAAAAAUGAUCCCGAUCCCUCCCGUAAAGUGAUAUUCAGGAAAAAUCUGAAGAAUAGUCCACAUUGGAGUUUACUAUAGUGAGAUGUUUUAUAUAAUUUGAUCAGAAAGUUAUAAAUUAUGAGAUUAGCAAUUUGUCCAGAAAGGUAAUUUUAUAAUCAAUUGAUACUUAUUGCACAUAAGGGGCGGGAUUAUACAAAGGUUUUGGUCUUACUCAAGAAUUGACCUAUUAUAUUGCACCAUAAUUUAAUGAGAAGUAUGGUGAAAGGUGUGAUCAAAGCACAAACAUUUUCUGAUUGUUGCCAGUUAACAAAUGAGCUCAAGUAGAACUCUGUAUCUGAGAACAGAAUCUGGCAGGUGGAAUACUUAAUAGAUUAGGAGGUGGUUGUCACUCCAGAAGAAAGCUAGGUAUACGAAAGGGGUACGUUAGACUGAAUCUAAAUAUAUAUAUAUAUAAAAAGAUUGUCAGCCCACUCUUGUACUUGACAGUAAACAAUCCAUAUGUUCAAUUGGGCUUACUCCUUUGGGGGUGGGCAUAGGGGCUGCAGCGUUCCAUAACCAGCACCCAAUGACAGGAGCUAAAGAUGUUCACAAGAUAAUUGUUCUUGAAGUGAAAAUAAAUAAAGCAUUUGGGCUCAGUGUUCAGGUCCCAAGCAACAUGCUUUCACACCUAGGAUGUCAGGUGCCAAACGUGAGUCCUGUUAAUUUCUCUCACUUGGUCACCACCUACACCCCCACACCCCAUGUCAUCUGAAUAUUUCAAGCAACAUCAAACUUUGCUUUAUAUUCCAAACAUGGUUGGGUUUUUUUGGUUGGCUGCAAGUCUCCUGGAAUUGUAGCAAGCUUGUUUUCUAAUGCUUCGGAGGCUAAGACCCAAGCCAACGACUUCAAGUUACAAGAAGGGAGAUUCCAACUAAACAUCAGGAAGAACUUUCUGAUAGUAAAAGGCAUGGAUCAGUGGAUAUGAGGUGGCGGACUCUCUUCCAGUGGAAGUUGGAUGGCCCUCUGUUGAGAUCCCUGCAUUGUAGGGGUUGGACCCUCAGAAUCCCUUCCAACUCUAUAAGCACACUUAAACGUUGUAGCUGUAUGCAUUCUCUCCCUCCCUUUCUCCCCCUCUCUGGAUAUUGAGCUUGCCUGCCCGCCCUGUGCUGGGCUUGUGAAUGACUCAGCUUUGCAACAAUUGUUCACCUUUCCACUUGUCCCCAAUUAUCCUCUCAUUUGAUUUGACCUAGUUCAGUUGCAUCUUUUUUCUUCCUUUUGGUCUUCCAUUUGACACUUCUUGGAACCAAAUGAGGUAGCGGUGGUGGUGGGAUCAGGGAGAGAGUUUUUUCUCAUGAUUUCACUAUUCCCGACGAAUAACUGAACACGGCCAUGUUUGGUGAACAUUAUUGUCUCCAAACAAUACAGAAAACAAAAGGCGCUGAUGUCAUAAAAAUGUUUGCCUCUCCCACCUACUGCUGACUUCAAUGCAGUAUUGUACUAAACUUCAGGGUGCAGGUGAUUGGGAUGGGUGGGCAAAUAAACACUUGGUCGAGCCAAGGAUUUUUUGUUUCGUUAUCAAAGCGGGAGACAGAGAUCCUGUGACUUUGUUCUGUACCAAGACAGUCAUUCCAUUGUGUCGAAUGGCAGCCACCGGUGUCGGCAAGAUAAGCCAAGAUGUUGCUACUGAUGUGGAAAGACUAGAUCAAGAAAGAUGACCUGCGAAUGGAAUUUGGCACCACCUUGUAAAUAAGCAAACCUAUGGGGCAUUUGUAUUCUCACCUGAUCACUCUAAGGAUUUAGUCCAGGGUUUCGCAAACUUGGGUCUCCAGCUACUGUUGGACUACAACUCCCAUCAUCCCUAGCUAGCAGGACCAGUGGCUAGGGAUGAUGGGAAUUGUAGUCCAAAAACAUCUGGAGACCCAAGUUUGGGAUACCCUGGUUCAGUCCAUUCAUCUGGGUAUGAGGUGGAACCUGCGCAUGUGCUCUUAAAUUCAGUUUCAGGUGUGGGAUUUUGAAACUAUACGUGAGCUAGCUCUGAAGCUGAGUUACCUGCUCAUCUACGAAGCUCACCAGGUGGCCUUGGGCAAGUCGCCAUUGCUCGCUGUGCCUAAUCCACUUCACAGGUAUGGCUGCCAUGUUGCAGCUUGGAGAACGAGUUCUGCCACUCACCAUGCUACCUGCUCUAGGGCAUUUUUGAGUGUCUCACUUGCUGGGAAGUCAAAGGAAAAAGGUGGGGAGAAGAACCAGGGAGUAAGCACUAGGUAGGAGGUACUUUUGCUGCACUGUCUCCCACUGCAGUUGCAAACUGU
rnacentral:lncRNA from 1 species